rnacentral:rRNA from 1 species
UACGGAGGGGGCUAGCGUUGUUCGGAAUUACUGGGCGUAAAGCGCGCGUAGGCGGCUUUGUAAGUUAGAGGUGAAAGCCCGGAGCUCAACUCCGGAACUGCCUUUAAGACUGCAUCGCUAGAACGUCGGAGAGGUAAGUGGAAUUCCGAGUGUAGAGGUGAAAUUCGUAGAUAUUCGGAAGAACACCAGUGGCGAAGGCGACUUACUGGACGACUGUUGACGCUGAGGUGCGAAAGCGUGGGGAGCAAACAGG